rnacentral:rRNA from 1 species
GACGAACGCUGGCGGCGUGCUUAACACAUGCCAGUCGAACGCUGAAGCUCAGCUUGCUGGGUGGAUGAGUGGCGAACGGGUGAGUAACACGUGAGUAACCUGCCCUCUUCUUUGGGAUAACGCCCGGAAACGGGUGCUAAUACUGGAUAUUCACUGAUUCUCGCAUGGGGGUUGGUGGAAAGGUUUUUUCUGGUGGGGGAUGGGCUCGCGGCCUAUCAGCUUGUUGGUGGGGUGAUGGCCUACCAAGGCUUUGACGGGUAGCCGGCCUGAGAGGGUGACCGGUCACAUUGGGACUGAGAUACGGCCCAGACUCCUACGGGAGGCAGCAGUGGGGAAUAUUGUACAAUGGGCGAAAGCCUGAUGCAGCGACGCCGCGUGAGGGAUGGAGGCCUUCGGGUUGUAAACCUCUUUCGCUCAUGGUCAAGCCGCAGCUUUGGGUUGUGGUGAGGGUAGUGGGUAAAGAAGCGCCGGCUAACUACGUG